rnacentral:rRNA from 1 species
UACGAGUGCCCCAAGCGUUAUCCGGAAUCAUUGGGCGUAAAGGGUGUGUAGGCGGUUGUGUUAGUCUUCUGUUAAAUUCUUCGGCUUAACCGGGGGCAUGCGGAGGAAACGGCACAACUAGAGGAUGCGAGAGGUGAAUGGAACUCAUGGAGUAGGGGUGAAAUCCGUUGAUAUCAUGGGGAACACCGAAUGCGAAGGCAGUUCACUGGCGCACUCCUGACGCUGAGACACGAAAGCGUAGGUAGCGAAUGGG